rnacentral:rRNA from 1 species
UACGGGGGAUGCGAGCGUUGUCCGGAUUCACUGGGCGUAAAGGGCGCGUAGGCGGCCAUGUCAGUCGGGCUUGUAAGUGCGGGGCUCACCCCCGUGUUGGGCUCGGGACGGCAUGGCUGGGGCGCGGCAGAGGGAGACGGAAUGCCGGGUGUAGUGGUGAAAUGCGUAGAGAUCCGGCGGAACACCGGUGGCGAAAGCGGUCUCCUGGGCCGAGGGCCGACGCUGAGGCGCGAGAGCGUGGGGAGCGAACCGG